rnacentral:rRNA from 1 species
UGGGGAUGACGUCAAGUCCUCAUGGCCCUUAUGGGUAGGGCUUCACACGUCAUACAAUGGUCGGUACAGAGGGUUGCCAAGCCGCGAGGUGGAGCCAAUCCCUUAAAGCCGAUCGUAGUCCGGAUCGUAGUCUGCAACUCGACUACGUGAAGUCGGAAUCGCUAGUAAUCGCAGAUCAGCAUGCUGCGGUGAAUACGUUCCCGGGUCUU